rnacentral:rRNA from 1 species
UACGUAGGGACCAAGCGUUGUACGGAUUUACUGGGCGUAAAGGGCGCGUAGGCGGCAAUUCAAGUCAGCUGUGAAAUCUCCGGGCUUAACUCGGAACGGUCAGCUGAUACUGCUUUGCUAGAGUACAGAAGGGGCAAUCGGAAUUCUUGGUGUAGCGGUGAAAUGCGUAGAUAUCAAGAGGAACACCUGAGGUGAAGACGGGUUGCUGGGCUGAUACUGACGCUGAGGCGCGAAAGCUAGGGUAGCAAACGGG